rnacentral:rRNA from 1 species
UACGGAGGGUGCAAGCGUUAUCCGGAUUCACUGGGUUUAAAGGGUGCGUAGGUGGGUUGGUAAGUCAGUGGUGAAAUCUCCGAGCUUAACUUGGAAACUGCCAUUGAUUCUAUCAGUCUUGAAUAUUGUGGAGGUCAGCGGAAUAUGUCAUGUAGCGGUGAAAUGCUUAGAUAUGACAUAGAACACCAAUUGCGAAGGCAGCUGGCUACACAUAUAUUGACACUGAGGCACGAAAGCGUGGGGAUCAAACAGG